rnacentral:rRNA from 1 species
GACGAACGCUGGCGGCGCGCCUAACACAUGCAAGUCGAACGAGCGAGAGAGAGCUUGCUUUCUCAAGCGAGUGGCGAACGGGUGAGUAACGCGUGAGGAACCUGCCUCAAAGAGGGGGACAACAGUUGGAAACGACUGCUAAUACCGCAUAAGCCCACGGCUCGGCAUCGAGCAGAGGGAAAAGGAGCAAUCCGCUUUGAGAUGGCCUCGCGUCCGAUUAGCUAGUUGGUGAGGUAACGGCCCACCAAGGCGACGAUCGGUAGCCGGACUGAGAGGUUGAACGGCCACAUUGGGACUGAGACACGGCCCAGACUCCUACGGGAGGCAGCAGUGGGGAAUAUUGCACAAUGGGGGAAACCCUGAUGCAGCGACGCCGCGUGGAGGAAGAAGGUCUUCGGAUUGUAAACUCCUGUUGUUGAGGAAGAUAAUGACGGUACU